UGAGUUUUGAGGUCUGGGGUUCCAGGCAUGCAUCACCAUGCCCAGUUUUCACCAUAGAUUUUUUUGUGUCAAUAUUCUUAAACGGUCAUACAUUUCUGAAGGAGGGGCCUCUUUUCCUUCUCAUGUUCUCCUUUUGGUUUCCCUGCUUUGUUAUUUCUUUUAACCCAACACAAGCAACAUCAGUGAUGAACACACAAUGGUGCCUCUAACAAGAACACUGCAAAGCUUCCCCCCACUCUGCACCUGGGCAGAGGUGAGCAUCGUCACUUGGGCAGAGGUGGGCAUCUUCACCUGGGCAGAGGUGGGCAUCUGCACCUGGGCAGAGGUGAGCAUCUUCACCUGGGCAGAGGUGGGCAUCUUCACCUGGGCAGAGGUGGGCAUCUGCACCUGGGCAGAGGUGGGCAUCUUCAUGCAGGGAGAGGUGGACAUAUCUUCAGAGGAGAACUGCUUAUCUAUUGAGUCUCUGCCUGGAUGUAAAGCCACCCUCCCCCUUCUCCACCAUCAAUCUGUUUCUGAGUGAAACACACUAAACUUCAAUUUGGUAAUUGCAUCUUCAGAUCCUUUAAUGAAGGUGUUUAUCAACAUAUAAAUAAUUGCUGGGUAAUUUUGUAUUUGCCAACUGCAUCCUGCUGGAAGGGUAGGUGCACCCCACACACACACUUGUAGACGUCCUGAAUGUCAAGGGCAGCAGUUCAGAACAAUUCCCCAAUGUCAGUUCGCCUCAUUCUGUAUCUACCCUGCCUCCUUCUCCUCCCGUGCUCUUCCAGCUGUGCUAACUCACGAUUCGAGUCCAUGACAGAUAGGUACAGUCCCCCCUUCCCCCGGAGAAUGAGCGGAUAGGUCAUGCAGGGAACGUGGGAUGAAGUCGGUCUCUCACUGAUUUAUUUCCUUGUCUGGAUAAUAUCCCCCUGAACUUGCUCACUCCAGGCACCGGCACUGAAGGCUUCCUUCUGUAUCUUAGGCUUCCAUGUGUGUGUGUGUGUGGGGUGCAUGUAUAUGGGGGAGUGUGUGACUUUGUAUAUAUAUGGGGGUACAACUCACGAGAGUCAUUUCUCUCCAUUUACCGUUUGAGUCUUAACUCAGAUCACAAGGCUUGGCAGCAAGAGUCUCUCCCGGUUGGCCCAUCUCACAGGCUUUCCGUACUCUGUUCUCACAAGACCCUUCGUUGGCCUCACCAACCAGGAAUGAAUGGCUGGCCAGCGUGUUCCAGUCAGCGACUGUCUCUGCUUUUCCUCCUCUGCCUUGUGGUUACAAGUGUUCAGGAGCCAUUGUGUCCAGCAUUUUAAGUAGGUUCCAAGGGAUUGAACUCAAGUCCAUUGCUUGCAAGGCAAGAGCUGUUCUGAGUGGGGUGCCACCCUGACCCUCCUUAUUAUUUUGCCUGAGUUGUGAAAUUAUCCCCGGCCAUAGGGAAGAGCUGUGGAGCGUCCCAGUGGCUGACAGCUAAGAUGAAAGCAGGGCACCUCAGCUUCACACUAUGAGUGCUGUGUGCCUGACAUGCUCUUUGGAGCCUGCCGAGGGCGUGGCUAAAUGCUGGUGCCUGGUACAGAAGAAAGGAGAUAGCUGUUAGCCCGCUUUUCCCAGGCCCUGUUAUUAUUUUGUUGCUGUUUAGCACAUGGACUCCUGGAGGGAGUUGGCAACUAACAGCUCUUCAAGAAGUAUUCUUAAAAGCUGUGCUGAAAUCAUGCACCUCCUGUAGAAACAAGUGUGAUUUACAUCUAAUAUGGGUAAUUACUUUUACAGUUAAUUAAAAGCACUCUCAUUAGGCCCCUGCCGUGGCAUCAAUGCAUAGUUCUUAUUUGCCAAAGGACCCCGGGUUUGAGCUCACCUAUCCCAGGGCUCCUGCCCAGGAGCAGCUGACUCGCAGGGAUCAGAUCCAUUGUGCUAAACCAUCAGCCACCGCCUUAGCUGAGGCCCAGCUGCCUCCCAUUGUGCUAAAACCAUCAGCCACCACCUUAGCUGAGGCUCUCCCCCUCCCCCUUCCCCUCCCCUCACUGACUCACUCCUGUGUACACAGCUGGAAUUGAAACCCUACUACCGAAACCUUGGGAUAAAGCCAGCCUAAGGAAAGGGUUCCGUGAGGCCAUCCAGCAGUCGUGCUGAGAGGAGUCAGUGGCAGCCUCUCGCUUGCGUUGUUUUCAGAAAAGCUUUGUUUAUGGGAACCUUCUGUGGUCCUCUGCUUUUUCAGAUUUUCAGUUUCUUCUAAAGGAAGUAUCAGUUCUGGAAGAAAUGUUCUUUAAAUCUUCCUAAUAUACCUCUGCUUACUUAUAAGCUGUAUUUGCCACUAUUUGCAGUACGUGAGAUACUACGGUGACAAGGUGAUGAGAUGAACAGAGAGGACUGACGGAUGCAUUUUGAUGUCCUGUCAAGCCAGCUUCUGUCUGCCAGCAUUUCACACCUCUGUUGAGCCUGGGGAGCUUAACUGAUGGUGUGAAUCUACAGAGCAGGGGACUUUGGAACUCAGAGUCUUUCGUUUGUUUGGGCUUGAGACAGUCUCUGGUACAGGCUGGCUUUGAAGUUAUGAUACAGCUGCAGGUGACCUUGAAUGCAAUACUCGAACUCAACAACACCGUGUCUGGACGCUGAGGUGCAUCACAGGAACACCAGGCGGAUUCAAGUGGCUUACACCAUCAGCUGUCAGCAUGCGUGAGACCCCUUUCUCCUUCUCCUUGACAUUCAGUUUAACAGCUGCAAGUGGGGAAGCUGGGCUGUAUGGCUCCUGUGGGUGAACCUUCCUCUUAUAAUUUGCUUUGGAAAGGAAAACAAAUAAACAAAACAAAGUUGGAGUUGCAUAAAAUGGAUGAAAUGUUCUCAGUCUCGGAUUCUAAA